CCUACGGGAGGCAGCAGUGGGGAAUAUUGCGCAAUGGGCGGAAGCCUGACGCAGCGACGCCGCGUGGGGGAUGACGGCCUUCGGGUUGUAAACCUCUUUCAGCAGGGACGAAGCCGUAAGGUGACGGUACCUGCAGAAGAAACACCGGCCAACUACGUGCCAGCAGCCGCGGUAAUACGUAGGGUGCAAGCGUUGUCCGGAAUUAUUGGGCGUAAAGAGCUCGUAGGCGGUCUGUCGCGUCGGCUGUGAAAACCCGGAGCUCAACUCCGGGCCUGCAGUCGAUACGGGCAAACUGGAGUGUUGCAGGGGAGACUGGAAUUCCUGGUGUAGCGGUGAAAUGCGCAGAUAUCAGGAGGAACACCGGUGGCGAAGGCGGGUCUCUGGGCAACAACUGACGCUGAGGAGCGAAAGCGUGGGGAGCGAACAGGAUUAGAUACCCUGGUAGUCCACGCCGUAAACGUUGGGCGCUAGGUGUGGGGCUCAUUCCACGAGUUCCGUGCCGCAGCUAACGCAUUAAGCGCCCCGCCUGGGGAGUACGGCCGCAAGGCUAAAACUCAAAGGAAUUGACGGGGGCCCGCACAAGCGGCGGAGCAUGUUGCUUAAUUCGAUGCAACGCGAAGAACCUUACCUAGGCUUGACAUGCACGGAAAUCUCCCAGAGAUGGGGGGUCCGUAAGGGUCGUGCACAGGUGGUGCAUGGUUGUCGUCAGCUCGUGUCGUGAGAUGUUGGGUUAAGUCCCGCAACGAGCGCAACCCUCGUCCUAUGUUGCCAGCGGAUAAUGCCGGGGACUCAUAGGAGACUGCCGGGGUCAACUCGGAGGAAGGUGGGGAUGACGUCAAAUCAUCAUGCCCCUUAUGUCUAGGGCUGCAAACAUGCUACAUGGCCGGUACAAAGGGCUGCGAUACCGUGAGGUGAGCGAUCCAAAAGCCGGUCUCAGUUCGGAUUGGGUCUGCACUCGACCCCAUGAGUUGGAGUCGCUAGUAUCGCAGAUCAGCA
rnacentral:rRNA from 1 species